CUUGGGACCAGCCAAUACAGUCACCACAAUAACAUUGUUGUGAAACCUCAAUAAAAUCACAAACAGUCAAACCAUAUCAAGAAACACACAGUGACUUAUCACAACACAAUGGCACAUUUUUAAAGGGGUGGGGGGAGACAAUAUUUAACAGUAAAUAUCUCACCUGCCUGCAGAAUUAGCAAUAUGCAAAUCUACCCGAAUAUGCAAAUGAACCAGUCUUGCAAAUCAG
rnacentral:lncRNA from 1 species